CUAAGUUUGCGUAGCAUCGCUUUCAUCGAAACAGGGUUUGUUUAAGUCACGUUUUCAUCAGAAAACGAAUGCGUUUGUGAAUGUGGGGAUGUAAGCAGUUGACAGUAUGCAAUUGACAGUAAGCAGUUGACAGUAAGCAGUAGGCAGUUAACAGUAGGCAGUAGUUAGUCAGAAGUAGACAUUCCAUCUGUUACUUUCCUACCAAGUGCGACAUUUAGCGUCAAGGGGUUGCGACAUUUAGCGGCAAUCGAUUUUUGUGCGACAUAUAGCGGCAACGUUGCGACAUUUAGCGGUAGGCGAUUGCGACAUAUAGCGUUGAUUGCGACAUAUAGCGUCAGCGUUGCGACAUUUAGCGUUAGUUGCGACA